rnacentral:rRNA from 1 species
ACCAGGGUAUGUAACGUUGAGUGAAGGGUAUGGAUGUGAUCUGUAUUCUGAUAGCGUUACGCGUGGUGCAUGGCCGUUCUUAACACGUGGGGUGACUUGUCUGGUUAAAUCCGAUAACGCGUGAGACCCUGGAAAUUGACGAUACUUGACAAGAGUAGGGAAGCUCGGGUCGAUAACAGGUCUGUGAUGCCCGUAGAUAUUCUGGGCGCCACGCGCACUACAGUGGGAGAGGAUACGUGAAACGGAACUCUCUUGCGGUUGGGAUUAACGUUUUGUAAAUACGUCAUGAACGCGGAAUUCCUAGUAAUUUGUUGUCAUUAACGACAGAUGAAUGAGUCCCUGUUCUUUGUACACACCGCCCGUCGUUAUCUAAGAUGAAUGUGCGGAUGAAGUUGGUUAGGCCAAAAGAAUCCGUGCGAUUAGAUUGGAUACAAGUCGUAACAAGGUUGCGGUAGGAGAACCUGCCGCAGGAUCAAUAAAAAGAUCAUUGGGUUUUUAUAAUGUGGGUAACACAUUGCGUUCGAAGUAUCGAUUGGUUUUGGUGACGAUGACGAUUGUUGCUGUAUGCGAUAAUGAGUGACAACAGCCUUGUUUAACUCGUUAUCUAAUUAUAGAUGCCAUCUAUGAUUACCCCUUGGACUUAAGCAUAUCAUUAAAGGGAGGAAAAGGAAACAACUGUGAUUUCGA